AGCUUUGGAAUAAAAAGUCCACCAAGGAUGGGGUAGUCAAGGAUGAGGAGGAUGAGAAGGAGAAGACCCUUGCCAUGCGUGUGGAGUAGGAGGAGCGUGAAGACUUAAUGCAUCUAGAAGAUGUUUGUUCUUAGAUGUUCCCUAUCCUACUAAGUACUGAUGCUGACAAUAAGAUUACCUAGGCCAUUUUUCGACCACAGAUGCAUUUGAACCAAGCUGAGAUGAGGAG
rnacentral:lncRNA from 1 species